rnacentral:rRNA from 1 species
GCCGAUUACCCGCGAUGGGACGAAAAGACCCCGUGAACCUUUACUAUAGCUUAACAUUGAAUUUGGGUAAUUGAUGUGUAGGAUAGGCCGGAGACUUUGAAGCGGGUACGCCAGUAUUCGUGGAGUCGCUGUUGAAAUACGGCCCUUUGGUUAUUUGAGUUCUAACUCGCUGAUGCGAGGACACUGUUUGGUGGGUAGUUUGACUGGGGUGGUCGCCUCCAA